rnacentral:rRNA from 1 species
UUAAGUUAUUAAGGGCGCACGGUGGAUGCCUUGGCACUAGAAGCCGAUGAAGGACGUUACUAACGACGAUAUGCUUUGGGGAGCUGUAAGUAAGCUUUGAUCCAGAGAUUUCCGAAUGGGGAAACCCAGCAUGAGUUAUGUCAUGUUAUCGAUAUGUGAAUACAUAGCAUAUCAGAAGGCACACCCGGAGAACUGAAACAUCUUAGUACCCGGAGGAAGAGAAAGAAAAUUCGAUUCCCUUAGUAGCGGCGAGCGAAACGGGAAGAGCCCAAACCAACAAGCUUGCUUGUUGGGGUUGUAGGACACUCUAUACGGAGUUACAAAGGACGACAUUAGACGAAUCAUCUGGAAAGAUGAAUCAAAGAAGGUAAUAAUCCUGUAGUCGAAAAUGUUGUCUCUCUUGAGUGGAUCCUGAGUACGACGGAGCACGUGAAAUUCCGUCGGAAUCUGGGAGGACCAUCUCCUAAGGCUAAAUACUCUCUAGUGACCGAUAGUGAACCAGUACCGUGAGGGAAAGGUGAAAAGCACCCCGGAAGGGGAGUGAAAUAGAACCUGAAACCGUGUGCUUACAAGUAGUCAGAGCCCGUUAAUGGGUGAUGGCGUGCCUUUUGUAGAAUGAACCGGCGAGUUACGAUUUGAUGCAAGGUUAAGCAGUAAAUGUGGAGCCGUAGCGAAAGCGAGUCUGAAUAGGGCGUUUAGUAUUUGGUCGUAGACCCGAAACCAGGUGAUCUACCCUUGGUCAGGUUGAAGUUCAGGUAACACUGAAUGGAGGACCGAACCGACUUACGUUGAAAAGUGAGCGGAUGAACUGAGGGUAGCGGAGAAAUUCCAAUCGAACCUGGAGAUAGCUGGUUCUCUCCGAAAUAGCUUUAGGGCUAGCCUCAAGUGAUGAUUAUUGGAGGUAGAGCACUGUUUGGACGAGGGGCCCCUCUCGGGUUACCGAAUUCAGACAAACUCCGAAUGCCAAUUAAUUUAACUUGGGAGUCAGAACAUGGGUGAUAAGGUCCGUGUUCGAAAGGGAAACAGCCCAGACCACCAGCUAAGGUCCCAAAAUAUAUGUUAAGUGGAAAAGGAUGUGGCGUUGCCCAGACAACUAGGAUGUUGGCUUAGAAGCAGCCAUCAUUUAAAGAGUGCGUAAUAGCUCACUAGUCGAGUGACACUGCGCCGAAAAUGUACCGGGGCUAAACAUAUUACCGAAGCUGUGGAUUGUCCGUAAGGACAAUGGUAGGAGAGCGUUCUAAGGGCGUUGAAGCAUGAUCGCAAGGACAUGUGGAGCGCUUAGAAGUGAGAAUGCCGGUGUGAGUAGCGAAAGACGGGUGAGAAUCCCGUCCACCGAUUGACUAAGGUUUCCAGAGGAAGGCUCGUCCGCUCUGGGUUAGUCGGGUCCUAAGCUGAGGCCGACAGGCGUAGGCGAUGGAUAACAGGUUGAUAUUCCUGUACCACCUAUAAUCGUUUUAAUCGAUGGGGGGACGCAGUAGGAUAGGCGAAGCGUGCGAUUGGAUUGCACGUCUAAGCAGUAAGGCUGAGUAUUAGGCAAAUCCGGUACUCGUUAAGGCUGAGCUGUGAUGGGGAGAAGACAUUGUGUCUUCGAGUCGUUGAUUUCACACUGCCGAGAAAAGCCUCUAGAUAGAAAAUAGGUGCCCGUACCGCAAACCGACACAGGUAGUCAAGAUGAGAAUUCUAAGGUGAGCGAGCGAACUCUCGUUAAGGAACUCGGCAAAAUGACCCCGUAACUUCGGGAGAAGGGGUGCUCUUUAGGGUUAACGCCCAGAAGAGCCGCAGUGAAUAGGCCCAAGCGACUGUUUAUCAAAAACACAGGUCUCUGCUAAACCGUAAGGUGAUGUAUAGGGGCUGACGCCUGCCCGGUGCUGGAAGGUUAAGAGGAGUGGUUAGCUUCUGCGAAGCUACGAAUCGAAGCCCCAGUAAACGGCGGCCGUAACUAUAACGGUCCUAAGGUAGCGAAAUUCCUUGUCGGGUAAGUUCCGACCCGCACGAAAGGCGUAACGAUUUGGGCACUGUCUCAACGAGAGACUCGGUGAAAUCAUAGUACCUGUGAAGAUGCAGGUUACCCGCGACAGGACGGAAAGACCCCGUGGAGCUUUACUGUAGCCUGAUAUUGAAAUUCGGCACAGCUUGUACAGGAUAGGUAGGAGCCUUUGAAACGUGAGCGCUAGCUUACGUGGAGGCGCUGGUGGGAUACUACCCUAGCUGUGUUGGCUUUCUAACCCGCACCACUUAUCGUGGUGGGAGACAGUGUCAGGCGGGCAGUUUGACUGGGGCGGUCGCCUCCUAAAAGGUAACGGAGGCGCUCAAAGGUUCCCUCAGAAUGGUUGGAAAUCAUUCAUAGAGUGUAAAGGCAUAAGGGAGCUUGACUGCGAGACCUACAAGUCGAGCAGGGUCGAAAGACGGACUUAGUGAUCCGGUGGUUCCGCAUGGAAGGGCCAUCGCUCAACGGAUAAAAGCUACCCCGGGGAUAACAGGCUUAUCUCCCCCAAGAGUUCACAUCGACGGGGAGGUUUGGCACCUCGAUGUCGGCUCAUCGCAUCCUGGGGCUGUAGUCGGUCCCAAGGGUUGGGCUGUUCGCCCAUUAAAGCGGUACGCGAGCUGGGUUCAGAACGUCGUGAGACAGUUCGGUCCCUAUCCGUCGUGGGCGUAGGAAAUUUGAGAGGAGCUGUCCUUAGUACGAGAGGACCGGGAUGGACAUACCUCUGGUGUACCAGUUGUCGUGCCAACGGCAUAGCUGGGUAGCUAUGUGUGGACGGGAUAAGUGCUGAAAGCAUCUAAGCAUGAAGCCCCCCUCAAGAUGAGAUUUCCCAACUUCGGUUAUAAGAUCCCUCAAAGAUGAUGAGGUUAAUAGGUUCGAGGUGGAAGCAUGGUGACAUGUGGAGCUGACGAAUACUAAUCGAUCGAAGACUUAAUCAA